CCCCAGCCAUGUGGAACUGUAAUUAAAUGGAAGAAAUUAUUAUGAACUUGAGUAUAGAAACUAUCCUGAAAAAGCUUCUAAUGGCCAAAGAUGGAACAACUUGAAGAGCAAAAUAAGAGUUAAUGACAUUAGUAUUUUUUUGUUUGCUGAGGUAAGACGCCUUGGAUUGCUUCUCAUUCCCGACAUAUAUUUGGUUGGCAAGUCCCGGCAUUUACACUUCAGAAAUAACUCGUAAGUUCGUAUCCUUUCUGUCACCUCUGUCAUAUUAUCGCUUCUAGGGUGUUGCCAUUGGUUUAUUAACUGGUCUGCUGGUCUCUGAUCCCAUACUAGUUUUUUCUCUAU
ensembl:lncRNA